rnacentral:rRNA from 1 species
GAGUGAACGCUAGCGGGAGGCUUAACACAUGCAAGUCGAGGGGUAAAUGGCAGCAAUGCUAGUGAGACCGGCGGACGGGUCGCGUAACGCGUAUGCAACAUACCUUGUGCAGGGGGAUAGCCCGUGGAAACGCGGAUUAAUAUUCCAUAGUCCAGCUGUAUCGCAUGGUAUAGUUGGUAAAGAUUUAUCGGCACAAGUUUGGCAUGCGUCUGAUUAGCUUGUUGGUAGGGUAACGGCCUACCAAGGCUACGAUCAGUAGGGGUUCUGAGAGGAUUAACCCCCACACUGGUACUGAGACACGGACCAGACUCCUACGGGAGGCAGCAGUGAGGAAUAUUGGGUCAAUGGGCGGAAGCCUGAACCAGCCAUCCCGCGUGAAGGAAGACAGCCUUACGGGUUGUAAACUUCUUUUCUGUCAGAAGAAUAAGCUUGUCGAGACGAGUGAUGCCGGUAUGACAGGAAUAAGCAUCGGCUAACUCCGUG